rnacentral:rRNA from 1 species
UACAGAGGUCCCAAGCGUUGUUCGGAUUCACUGGGCGUAAAGGGUGCGUAGGUGGCCGGGUAAGUCUGAUGUGAAAUCUCCGAGCUUAACUCGGAAAUGGCAUUGGAUACUCUCCGGCUCGAGGAUUGGAGGGGAGACUGGAAUUCUCGGUGUAGCAGUGAAAUGCGUAGAUAUCGAGAGGAACACCAGUGGCGAAGGCGAGUCUCUAGACAAUUCCUGACACUGAGGCACGAAAGCUAGGGGAGCAAACAGG